AUUCCUUGAUUCGAACAUUUUUGAAGCAUAUCUUUAAACCUCUCCCAAACUUCAUGAAAACUUUUGAAUUUGAAUUGUUGAAAAAUGGUUAUGUCAUGCUUGAGUUU
rnacentral:snoRNA from 1 species